GGUGCAGUUUGCAUUGAAGCUGUGCACGCGUGCGUGCUUUGCACACACACGUAUAUACAUAUAUACAUAUAUAUUAAUUACAUACACAUAUAUAUACAUACAUACACGCACGCCACACACAUCCCCGCCGCCUCGAGCGCAGCCGUGACACUGGUUAAUCAGGCAAAUGUUUCAGUGGUGGAAACCCCACGUCACUUUGGGAGCUGCCGGAGCCUCCUGGAUAGCUCCAAGCCCAGAAACUGUUAUAACCAUGAAAAGGGUGGUAGGGAAAAAAAUAAUAAUAUUUUUUUUCUGGUUUUUAGUUGGUGGGUUUUCUCCCGGUACAGGCUCCGUGCUGGUGGCUCUCGGCAGAGGUUGGAUAAAUCUUGGGAACAGGAGCCAAGGUUUGCAUGGAGCAAAGAUGGGGGGUCUUUGUCACCCACCCAUCAGGCAAAACAGGGAAGGAAUGGGAAAUUUAGAGGCAAAGCAAUAUGUGCCAGGUCUUGCUGCUUAUUUUUGGAAGGUCCAAACGCAAAGAGAUCACAGAGGAAGGAGAGGGGUGACCCACUCCCAGGCCUGCAAAACCCACCCGGGGCUGGGUGCUGCCACCAGCUGGGGCCACCUCCGUCCCCUUGCUCUCCUAAAAUUGAGAAGCUGGCACAGCAAAGGCUCUUCCUUCGGCUCUGCCAUCUCACAGGCACACUAAAGGCAGGGAAAAGCAAGAGGAACGUCCCUCCUCUGCACCCCAGGGCUCUUUGGGGCACCCUCCUGCAGGUGCACAGCUGGAAGGACGAGCGCGUCUGGGCACUGCCCCAGCUGUGCUCAGGGACAAAGCCCCACGGGGACACGGGGCUGGGGACGGGGCAGAACGGCCGCAGCGGUGCCAAACCGGCCAGGCUUCAGCCAGGGGCUGAUGGGCAAGAUGCUCCUUCUACUGUUGGAGUCAAUUUCCCUAAAAACCUGCUCCAUGACCAAACCAACAGCUGCCUCCAAACUCCCCCCAUGCUUCCUCGCCUCCUCCCCAGCCGUCCUAGCAGCAGGGAGCCCUCUCAAGCCCCAGGGUAUGGGGAGAGCCCUGCAGAAGCUGGAUGGAGCCCCCCCAUCCGCCUCCGGCCACCCCAGCAGCAGCAGCAGGCACCGAGGUGUCACUGGGGUUUGUCCAUCCCCAUCGCAGAGAGCUGA
rnacentral:lncRNA from 1 species